CGGGGUGUAGCGCAGCCCGGUAGCGCGCGUCGUUCGGGACGACGAGGUCGUAGGUUCGAAUCCUGUCACCCCGACCA
rnacentral:tRNA from 1 species